UGAAUUUCGAUUUGGAAAAUUUUGACCUUCUCCCUCCGAUGUUCUUUCACUUUUCGCAGAUUACAAGUCUUUCAAAAUCAUAAUAGUUGAUUUCUCCCAUCUAUGAGGAUUAUGAAAGGUUUAUGGCAAAACAUAAACAAGAUCAAGUUGAACAAUCUAUUGAAGAAUUAAGAUCCAUGAAAAAAAAUGACCUAACGACAAUUCAUAAAGUCAUCAACAAUGCGAAAUCUAGCGACAUUAAGAUUGUUGAAGAUGGAAGUAAGAAAAAAGUCUUAAACAUUGAUUCAGUGGAGAUUUGAUCUGCCUCAUCAGAACUUGACAAAUCUGAAGAAUAUUGGAAACAUCAGGUAGUGUAAUUUAUAUAAAAUUACAAAGUUAUAUAUAUAGUUGGUUGUAUAUUAAGAUAACAUAUAAAAAGUAUUAUGAGACAGUUCCUAAUUGUAUAUUCUAUUAGUUGUAUACCAAUUACUAAAGUUAGGUAUAUAGUGGGUUGUAUAUUAAGGUAACACUUACAAAGUCUUA